UAAAUGCGAUACUUGGUGUGAAUUGCAGAAUCCCGUGAACCAUCGAGUCUUUGAACGCAAGUUGCGCCCGAAGCCAUUAGGCCGAGGGCACGUCUGCCUGGGCGUCACGCAUCGCGUCGCUCCCCCCCACACUUUCAAAGUAUGUCCGGGGGAAGCGGAUACUGGCCUCCCGUGCCCCCCGCGGGCGCGGCUGGCUCAAAACGGAGUCCCCGACGGAGGACGCACGACAAGUGGUGGUUUUAUAAAAGCACUCGCGUCACGUUGUGCGCACGUCCUGCGCCGGUGCCGGCUCGCGUGACCCUAAUGCGCCUCCCUCGCUUUCGCGACGGACGGUGCUUCGACCGCGACCCCAGGUCAGACGGGACUACC
rnacentral:rRNA from 1 species